AGCAGCCGCGGUAAUUCCAGCUCCAAUAGCGUAUAUUAAAGUUGUUGCAGUUAAAAAGCUCGUAGUUGAAUUUCGGGACCAAUUUGUUGGUCGUGCCUCGGUACGUACUGAUACUAUUGGUUUCUCCCUUCUGAAGAACCAUGAUGCCAUUAAUUUGGUGUCGUGGGGAAUCAGGACUGUUACUUUGAAAAAAUUAGAGUGUUUAAAGCAGGCUUUCGCUUGAAUACAUUAGCAUGGAAUAAUGAAAUAGGACGUUUGAUUCUAUUUUGUUGGUUUCUAGGAUCGACGUAAUGAUUAAUAGGGAUAGUUGGGGGCAUUAGUAUUCAAUUGUCAGAGGUGAAAUUCUUGGAUUUAUUGAAGACUAACUACUGCGAAAGCAUUUGCCAAGGAUGUUUUCAUUAAUCAAGAACGAAAGUUAGGGGAUCGAAGACGAUCAGAUACCGUCGUAGU
rnacentral:rRNA from 1 species